ACCUUAGAGACCAACUAAGUUUGUUCUGGGUAUAAGAUUUUGUGUGCACACGAAAACUUAUACCCAGAACAAACUUAGUUGGUCUCUAAGGU